rnacentral:rRNA from 1 species
GACGAACGCUGGCGGCGUGCUUAACACAUGCAAGUCGAACGAUGAACCGGGUGCUUGCACUUGGGGAUUAGUGGCGAACGGGUGAGUAACACGUGAGUAACCUGCCCUGGACUCUGGGAUAACCCCGAGAAAUCGGAGCUAAUACCGGAUAGGACCUUUCCCCGCAUGAGGUUUGGUGGAAAGUUUUGUGGUCUGGGAUGGACUCGCGGCCUAUCAGCUUGUUGGUGAGGUAAUGGCUCACCAAGGCGUCGACGGGUAGCCGGCCUGAGAGGGUGACCGGCCACACUGGGACUGAGACACGGCCCAGACUCCUACGGGAGGCAGCAGUGGGGAAUAUUGCACAAUGGGCGCAAGCCUGAUGCAGCAACGCCGCGUGCGGGAUGACGGCCUUCGGGUUGUAAACCGCUUUUAGUAGGGAAGAAGGGCUUCGGCUUGACGGUACCUGCAGAAAAAGGACCGGCUAACUACGUGCCAGCAGCCGCGGUAAGAC